rnacentral:rRNA from 1 species
UGGCGAACGGGUGAGUAACACGUGGGUAACCUGCCCAUCAGAAGGGGAUAACACUUGGAAACAGGUGCUAAUACCGUAUAACAAUCAAAACCGCAUGGUUUUGAUUUGAAAGGCGCUUUCGGGUGUCGCUGAUGGAUGGACCCGCGGUGCAUUAGCUAGUUGGUGAGGUAACGGCUCACCAAGGCAAUGAUACGUAGCCGAACUGAGAGGUUGAUCGGCCACAUUGGGACUGAGACACGGCCCAAACUCCUACGGGAGGCAGCAGUAGGGAAUCUUCCACAAUGGACGCAAGUCUGAUGGAGCAACGCCGCGUGAGUGAAGAAGGCUUUCGGGUCGUAAAACUCUGUUGUUGGAGAAGAAUGGUCGGCAGAGUAACUGUUGUCGGCGUGACGGUAUCCAACCAGAAAGCCACGGCUAACUACGUGCCAGCAGCCGCGGUAAUACGUAGGUGGCAAGCGUUAUCCGGAUUUAUUGGGCGUAAAGCGAGCGCAGGCGGUUUUUUAAGUCUGAUGUGAAAGCCCUCGGCUUAACCGAGGAAGUGCAUCGGAAACUGGGAAACUUGAGUGCAGAAGAGGACAGUGGAACUCCAUGUGUAGCGGUGAAAUGCGUAGAUAUAUGGAAGAACACCAGUGGCGAAGGCGGCUGUCUG